GCCUCAGUAGCUCAGUGGUAGAGCGGUUGCCUUGUAAGCAACAGGCCGAGGGUUCAAUCCCCUCCUGGGGCU
rfam:Candidatus Micrarchaeota archaeon CG1_02_55_22 cg1_0.2_scaffold_6673_c, whole genome shotgun sequence.